UCAGGCAGGUCGGGGGGAACACAAACUCACUAUCAGCAACACAGAACACAACCGAACCGAACCGCUGUGCGCACUGCGCUCUUUCACUCUGUGUGGGGCUCAGAGUUUCCCAGUGCUUUCUUAUCAUGGAGUUUCCCUGUGACACGCCUCAACAUGCCCGCCCCCUUCAAGAUUGGAAUGCAUUACAUCAGUUUGCACCUAUCAUUUAAGUGUGUGUGUUUAUGUAACCAUGACAAUGUGCCGAGAGAAGAAGAGGUGUGGCAGUGUGUGACGUUCCCCGUGGCAAAUAGAUCCCUUUCACUGACGUCACCCGAAACCGGAAGUAAACAGACCCUGCGCUAUUUUGGAAGACCAACAAACUCGUGAUUAGGGGGAAAUAACGGCAGCGGUAUGUGAACCCACGAGAAUAAAGUGGAGUGGCAAACGACUUAAACAAACAAAUCUGAGCUGUUUUAUUUAUAAUUUAUUGGCCCAACAGUAGACUUGAAAGAAACCUGUGUGAGACUUGGCAAAAAACUGUGGAUAUAAUGGAUAAGUCUGUGCAUGAUCUGCGGACACUGAGGAACCAGAUCGCUUCACUUUGCAAGUUUGGAUCAACGUGAUCACACCACAGACCCCAUGACUGAGCCAAGAGUUCUAGGAAACGCAGUCUUUCCUCCACAAUCAGCAAUACAAAAGAAUAAAGAGGUCAGAGAAUUUCAACUGCAUUACCCAGAAUGCACUGCAGCCAGGAAGCAGGACAGAUUUUUCUCGCAAAUUUGUGACUUUAUAAUCUCGGAGAAUCUGUUUUUUCCUCAUAAAGCUAUAUGCAGGGGCGGUUCUAGGGGCGGGGCCACAGGGGCCAUGGCCCCGCCUCUAAUUUGAUUGGCUCCUGAAGUGCCCCGUUCUGUCAAUCAACUGGCGAGAAGAACAACCGGAGAAUUCAAUAAUCACUGGUGCAGUUCCACCCCCAAACUGUUGGUGGCAGUGCACCUGUUGUGUCAAUACAACUGAAUGGAAGAAGAAACAGACCCGUGGAGGUUUUUUUUCCAUUGCUUAACGUUACCACAGCGUUUACCAUUCCGCUUCCAUGCGAUCAAAGAGGAUGCACAAGUACUAAUGCCAGUCAGCGGCGACGAGACUGAUGUUCAACUAGGCGAAUUCAUUCUUUGGUAUGGAGCACUUGCAUGUGACGUCACAGCCGAUCCAGAUUGUGACAGACGCCAUCGUGUCGGUCAAACGCCAUAUUCCGCCUUCUACUUCUACUUUUACUUCUACCUUUUCUUCUGGAAAACCCUACUAUAUACAAUUCUACUACAACGGCUGCGGCUACAAGCUCUCCCUACCUGUGUACGUUUAUGUUUUUUGUGUGUAUUUUUGCAUGUUGUUCGUCUGUACCGGACUUCAAUAUCCACUACAACCGUAUGGACUUACUGGACAUUGGUUUCCAGCAGAAAAUGACGGUUUGUAGCGAUUUCCAUUGCAUGCACAACAUUCCGGACGAGAAAAAAAAAAAAAAAAAACAUUCCGGACGAGACAGCGAGGUCUCCGUGGAUUGUUAUUGGAAGCAAAGCGAAGGAGGCAGCGCCGGGAGCGGAAGCAAAAGCGAGGCUACAGGCAGAGCCGGCCUGUUGACUAAGCUCAGAAAACAGCUACUCAAACCUCCACUGCCAAGCCUCUACCUCUCCAACGCCAGAUCCAUGUAAACAAGACGGACGAUUUGGAAUUACCUUAUUCUAUAAUCGGCUGGUCAGUGCUAUACUCAAUACUUAAGUGACUUACCCAUCCAAUGAGGAUAGUUAUUUUCUUGUUUACAAGAUGCCACAUCUGAGUCGCUGACAAAUCCUGAAUUUCUGUAAAGAAAACUGUC